rnacentral:misc_RNA from 1 species
UCUGAGGACCACGGCCUUCUGCAGCAAUCUUUCCACUGUAUCUGUGUGCAGAUUCUAUAAUGACAUUUGCCACAUUUUUACUCGAUUGUUUAACAUGGCUACCGCCAGAACCUUUUCUAUACACACUCCCCAGCUGGGGAAAUGGAUCACUGUUAUCAUCCAUGAUGUGGGUCGUUAAGUGCCUUACCUAGAAGCUUUCUUUAUAUCAGACACUGUCCUGGUUUACAUGGUUUUUCAGCAAAAAGGAUCAGUUCAAUAAUCUUUUUUGUUUCUCAAACAAGCAGCUAUAGACAAAUUCGGAGCCAACCAAGUGGAUCCCAUCUUUUCAGUAACCCAAUCUUAUAAUUUAAUUUGAAGGUCCAUCCAGAAUGAAUUGAUUAAUAACCAAAAUUGCAUGUAAUAACCAAAAUCUAAAAAUGGUACGCAAUUAUAUGCAUUGUAAAUUUUACAAAAGUAAAUUAAAUAAAUAGUGAAAAUAUAAAAGUGAUAUGACCGGCCACCAAAACACGAACCGGGCGAAUCGGUUCUCAGGGUACCGACCGACAAACUACUGAUUAACCGAUCCGAAUCAAAUCUACCUCGGCAAGCCAACAGACACAUGGCACAAGUAUUAUCCAGCACAUUUAAGGAUGCGUGGAGGUAACAAGGCUUUUUCAUACUCAUUUAUUGAUUUAACCAGCCGAGUGACUGCCACUAAUCCGCUGACUCCACAUCUUCUUCUCACGCGUUCUAGCAGCACAUCAAGCUUCUAUUUCAGAAUGCGUGGCAGUAGCAAAAAGUAAAUUAAAUAUUUAAAAAUUUAAAAAUUCAAUCGACACUGUUCAUGGUUGUGUUGUAGCUACGAGUCUCUCCACAGUCCACACCUCCACUGGCGAAAUUCAUUUUUUUUUAUAUUCAAAAUCAGAAGAUAAUAAAAAGAAGGCACAGAAUUCAAGAAAGAAAAAUGGCGCUGUUGCAACUCCUAUUUUAUUGAUGGGUAUCUCUAAAAUCAUUCCAAUAACCCUUUCCUGAGCUAAUCCAACCAGAAGCGUUUGAAAGAGACAUUUAGUCCUGCAACUU